GAUGAACGCUGACCGAAUGCUUAACACAUGCAAGUCCACUUGAAUUUGGGUUUUUAACUUAGGUUUGGGUGGCGGACGGGUGAGUAACGCGUAAAGAACUUGCCUCACAGCUAGGGACAACAUUUGGAAACGAAUGCUAAUACCUAAUAUUAUGAUAAUAGGGCAUCCUAUAAUUAUGAAAGCUAUAAGCGCUGUGAGAGAGCUUUGCGUCCCAUUAGCUAGUUGGAGAGGUAACGGCUCACCAAGGCGAUGAUGGGUAGCCGGCCUGAGAGGGUGAUCGGCCACAAGGGGAAUGAGACCCGGCCCUUCCCCCUACGGGGGGAAGCAGUGGGGAAUAUUGGAAAAGGGACCGGGAGUUUGAUCCAGCAAUUUUGUGGGCACGAUGAAUUUUUUCGGAAUGAAAAGUGCUUUCAGUUGGGAAGAAACAAAUGACGGUACCAACAGAAGAAGUGACGGCUAAAUACGU
rnacentral:rRNA from 1 species